rnacentral:rRNA from 1 species
UACGAGGGGGGCGAGCGUUGUUCGGAAUUAUUGGGCGUAAAGGGUGCGUAGGCGGCCUGACAAGUCUGAUGUGAAAUCCCUGGGCUCAACCCAGGGCCUGCAUCGGAAACUGUCGGGCUUGAGUAUGGGAGAGGUGAGUGGAAUUUCCGGUGUAGCGGUGAAAUGCGCAGAUAUCGGGAGGAACACCAAUGGCGAAGGCAGCUCGCUGGGACGGUACUGACACUGAGACGCGAAAGCGUGGGGAGCAAACAGG